GUGGACCCAAGGGGGAGGCUGAUUUCCAGGCAAGGUCACACAUGGCUGCCUGGCCUGGGACCCUGAAGGCAUGCUGGCUGCUGCCAACACCAAUGGUAGAUAAACAAGCCUGGAUUAGCAUUUUAAAACAGGUUUAACCCAAAGGAUAACUAUUGUCACAGCACAAAAUAUUACUGAUUGGAGCCUUCUUAAACCAUCUUUAGACAUUCUCCCAUGUCUCUGUCCCACUUUCCUAGUGCCAUAUUAUAGUAUUUAUAAAACAGCAGAGCCUGAUGUGGGGCCUGUGAAGUUCCAAGUGUACUGGCUGACUGUCUUCCAUUGCAGGGGAUUAAGAAACUGGAGCUGAAAAUGAAAACGUUCACCAGCAUUUUCCACAUCAGUGCACGAGUGGAGAUGGCACUCUAUUUUUUUUUUUUUUUAAUAAAUAGCACUAAGAAUUGCAGACAGUCAGCUCAGCUUGGGCCAACUUUAAAAGCCCACCACCAGAUCCCCACCAAGAUAAGCAGCCCCCAUGCUGAGAUGAUCCACCAUCAGCUCCAAGAGAGGACUGGGGCCCAUGCUAGGAAAGGAGGAGAGAUGCUUUUACAAAAAUAACAUAAUUUGGCUCCUGGAGAAGAGGAAGGGUAGAAUUCAGGCUGUGUUCCUUCCUCUCUCCCUUGCUUGCUUCCCCUGGUGAAGGCCGUAAUAGGCUUAGUGCUUACAAAGGUGAAAUCAAAAUGAGAGAAAGAGGAACUGCAGGAACCCUACUACUGGAGAUGCAGAAGUUGAGGCCAUCUAGGAGGCUCAUUUGCUUCAAGAAAGACUUAAGGAGGGAGGAGACCCUUUCUGCCUUCAUUCAACUUGCAAUGAAAGAAAAAAAGGCAAGAAGUAAACAGUUAAUGUAGAGGAUAUCACCUAAAGUGAUGGAAACCAUUUCACUUUUUCUUGAGUGUUU
rnacentral:lncRNA from 1 species